rnacentral:rRNA from 1 species
UAAUACAGAGGUGGCAAGCGUUGUUCGGAAUUACUGGGCGUAAAGGGCGCGUAGGCGGCCCGCCAAGUCCCGUGUGAAAUCCCCCGGCUCAACCGGGGAACGGCGCGGGAAACUAGCAGGCUUGAGUUCGGGAGAGGGAAGCGGAAUUCCGGGUGUAGCGGUGAAAUGCGCAGAUAUCCGGAGGAACACCGGUGGCGAAGGCGGCUUCCUGGACCGACACUGACGCUGAGGCGCGAAAGCUAGGGGAGCAAACGGGAUUAGAUACCCCGGUAGUCCUAGCCCUAAACGAUGAGAACUGGGUGUAGAGGGUAUGAACCCCUUCUGUGCCGAAGCUAACGCAUUAAGUUCUCCGCCUGGGGAGUACGGUCGCAAGGCUGAAACUUAAAUGAAUUGACGG